GUUUGAACAGGUUAUCCUGCUCGGAGAGCCAGGUACCAAUGGGUACGCUGCAAUCCCGAUAGCAUCUCUGCAAACUGCGUGGAGCAGAAGGGACCACUGUUUGACCUAAACGCAGAUGGAUCCAACAACAUUGACCCUCCAAUGGCCAAUCCUGUUCUGAUGAGAGGAUUCCCAAAUGAUUUCUUCCCUAUUACUGAAGACUAUUCUGGGUCAGGCUCAGGCUCAGGCUCAGGCUCUGGCUCUGGCUCUGGUUCUGGCUCUGGCUCUGGCUCUGGUUCUGGCUCCGGCUCAGGAAGUGGCUUCCCAGUCGACAUGGAAUGGGAAUACCAGCCAGCAGUUGAAAGCGAUGGUGUCUUUUUCAACUAUAGGCCUUUUGAGAGGAUGCUCCACGAGAACAACCAAGAGCAACCAGAAGAUUUUAUUAUAUGAAAAUGGUCAUUUCUGUUUCCCCAUCUCAACACAGAACAAUGUAUUCAGUAUACUUUGUGUACCACACUUAGAUGGUGAGUCUUGGGAUAAAGAGUUUUAUAGAAAAUUUUAAAUGCCUGGAAAAGACUCUUAAAUCCUGUUACCCUUUCCUCAUGAAUUCUUAAGGAAUUACACUUUAAUGCUGUUAUUGUUCUAGAGAAUAUCUGCACUUAUAUGCAUGUUGGAUCAACAUGAUGAAAUUAACUCACACCCCCAUCAUUUUACUACAACUUUUAAAAGUCAUGCUGUUUUUUAAAAAUUCAAUUUGAAGAGAAAGUUAAUGAACAAUAUUUCAUACCUACAGUGUUCAGGAACUCUCUCACAUUGUGAAUUACGGAAAUACUCCUUUUUAUGAUUAAAAAUAAAAUAAAAUGAAACAGUGACCUCCUA